rnacentral:rRNA from 1 species
UACAGAGGUGGCAAACGUUGUCCGGAAUUACUGGGUGUAAAGGGUCCGCAGGCGGCCUUGUAAGUCAAAGGUGAAAUGUCUCGGCUUAACCGAGUCACUGCCUUUGAAACUGCUAGGCUUGAGUACGGUAGAGGAGAGUGGAAUUCCCAGUGUAGCGGUGAAAUGCGUAGAUAUUGGGAGGAACACCAGUGGCGAAGGCGGCUCUCUGGACCGAUACUGACGCUCAGGGACGAAAGCCAGGGGAGCAAACGGG